rnacentral:lncRNA from 13 species
UUUUCUAAUGUAAUGGGUACUGUCUGCCAUGUUUUUAGAUGUCAUCGCUGCUCACACUGUGUACUAGCGCGCAUGUGAUGUUGGUCCUUUAUAAAUGUUACUAUCUUUGCCUGUGAGCGAUGGAAAAUAAUCCAUCUCAGCGACAAUUGUUUGAAUAAUUCAACGGAUGUUUUGUACACAAAGGUGAUGACUAAAGUAUCUUAUUAGGAAUUUUCAAAUCUGACUUCUCUAUGUGGCCGUCUAUGGAAAUUGUCUUUCUGGGCCGGGCUUCAGUUAAACUGCACUACCAAAUCAAAACUGUAGCAGUCGAAACCAUUUUUCGAAACCGGAACAUUGGCCAACUGAGGUAUAAAGAACUGGAGAUGGACGACCAUUGUUUUCAACGCACUGUAAUCUACUCACGUUCGCAAACGCUGUCGUGGCUGCUGCCAUUUUGGGACUACUCCACCGGAGCAGCGUGAGAAUGAGCACGAGCAGCAAUGUCGUCACAAGCAUAAACUCAGGAAGGUUUUGGGCAUUCUGCCAGAGUAGCUUGGAACGUCGAUCAGCAUGGCUGCGACAAGUUGGGUGGAGGGGAAAUCUGCAGGCACCACAGUUCCCACAACCACUCUAAACAUGAAAGGCAAUUUUGUGUAUAUGCCCUUCCCAUUGAACUACAAGCACAGUCAGAGAACUGUGUUAAAGCACAAAAACUAAGACAAAGAAAUGGUGGUGUCAGGAAGCCUGCAGCCUGGGGUUGGCAGAAACCAACGACACGUAAAGAAACCAGGCAGAAGAUCAAGAUGCAGAGGUUGGAGGCGAUCAACUGGCAGUGGGGCUUUGGUGGAGAAGGAGAUGUCAGAGAGGAAGGAGAGCAGGUCCUACACCAGCCCCUCUCGGCUAGAUAAGUUCUCUGCUAAACACCUCAAACAAAAUGAGAAAUCUACUACAAAGCCAGUUCUAUUCUCUCAUCCCAAGCACACACCCAAAAGAUCCUGUGCAGAAGAGAAAAACCUUUCACAGAGUACCCCCCCCAAAAAAACAAGGCAUCUCCCGGCCAGGGUAGAUGUCAGACUGGAGAGGGUUCCACUCCCAGCCCUUCCUACCAUGUUGACAGCCCCAUACAGAAGGACCACCACCAGCACCAGGAGAUCCAGAGGAGGAGAGCACCAGCAGCCCUUGUUUCCCGGCCUCCCUGGGGGAGACAUCUCCAGGGAGAGUCUCACAGAGCAGCCCAGCUGUUGUGAAAAGAUACCGCAAGGGAUAGACACCCCUGCACCUGGCUGCUAUAAAAGGAGAUGUGGAGACCGUGAAGGAGCUCCUAGGCCAGGGGGCUGACCCCAACCUGAAAGACGACGCUGGAUGGACCCCACUGGGGUAGAGGUGUGCCUUUAGACAGAUGGCUGGAUGGCCAAGAGUAACCAUGAAGCAGAAGGACCUCAACAUAGCUGCAUUAACAGACACAGCCUG